rnacentral:ribozyme from 1 species
UGCCCAGCAACUCCUAUCUCUACCUCCACGUGGCACAGGCCGGGCACAGGAAAGAUCGAGUAAUCAACCCCGGUGGUGAGAACUUAGCUCAAACGCUGACAGUGAAGG